rnacentral:rRNA from 1 species
CCUACGGGUGGCAGCAGUGGGGAAUAUUGGACAAUGGGCGAAAGCCUGAUCCAGCCAUGCCGCGUGUGUGAAGAAGGCCUUCGGGUUGUAAAGCACUUUCAGUGGGGAAGAAAGCCUUGGGGCUAAUACCCUCGAGGAAGGACAUCACCCACAGAAGAAGCACCGGCUAACUCCGUGCCAGCAGCCGCGGUAAUACGGAGGGUGCGAGCGUUAAUCGGAAUUACUGGGCGUAAAGCGCGCGUAGGCGGUCUGAUAAGCCGGUUGUGAAAGCCCCGGGCUCAACCUGGGAACGGCAUCCGGAACUGUCAGGCUAGAGUGCAGGAGAGGAAGGUAGAAUUCCCGGUGUAGCGGUGAAAUGCGUAGAGAUCGGGAGGAAUACCAGUGGCGAAGGCGACCUUCUGGACUGACACUGACGCUGAGGUGCGAAAGCGUGGGUAGCAAACAGGAUUAGAUACCCUAGUAGUC